rnacentral:rRNA from 1 species
GAUGAACGCUGGCGGCGUGCCUAAUACAUGCAAGUCGAGCGAACGGACGAGAAGCUUGCUUCUCUGAUGUUAGCGGCGGACGGGUGAGUAACACGUGGAUAACCUACCUAUAAGACUGGGAUAACUUCGGGAAACCGGAGCUAAUACCGGAUGAUAUUUUGAACCGCAUGGUUCAAAAGUGAAAGACGGCCUUGCUGUCACUUAUAGAUGGAUCCGCGCCGCAUUAGCUAGUUGGUAAGGUAACGGCUUACCAAGGCAACGAUGCAUAGCCGACCUGAGAGGGUGAUCGGCCACACUGGAACUGAGACACGGUCCAGACUCCUACGGGAGGCAGCAGUAGGGAAUCUUCCGCAAUGGGCGAAAGCCUGACGGAGCAACGCCGCGUGAGUGAUGAAGGUCUUCGGAUCGUAAAACUCUGUUAUUAGGGAAGAACAUAUGUGUAAGUAACUGUGCACAUCUUGACGGUACCUAAUCAGAAAGCCACGGCUAACUACGUG